GCCUCGUCUAGCGUGGGA
rnacentral:snRNA from 1 species